CGAAAUAUUGGAAAUGACUCUCACACUUGUUACUGAGUUGGAGGACUCGAGUUCUAGUUUGCAAAUUGUAACACCAACCGAGCAGUUGAUGUACGCUAUGAUUGCGUUUAUGGGUCCUGAAUGCGAAUUUCUGACAGACGAGAUACAUCCUUUGCUGCGAAAGCAUUUGCUCCGAUUGUACAAAAAACACAAAGAUUAUUGAUUUGAUUUUGACAAAGCUGCUAUAGGAAAAUGCAAAUUCGAAAGUUUGUAUUCUUUGUUCGUUGAUCACUUCCAAGCAACAAGCUAUGGCGAUGAAUUGUUCGGGUCUUUGGUUUUAGUGCCGUUGGCUCAAAAAUACGACAGCAAAUGGCGAAGGCGCAUGUGGUCGGACUACGCCCCGGCUUUAUGUUAUUUAAAUUGUGAUGAAUCUCUGCUCAUCAAUGGCAUUCGAUCCUAUUUGGAGCCUGUUGAGAAAGAAGAUUCUCUAAUAAAAGCAUAUGCGCUCGCUUUAGGCUCAAACGAUGUACGUCCCGGAUCUAUUCCUUAUAUAAUUGCAAAACAUCAUGUACAUCAUUUCAGAACGGUACCAAAUAAUUAAAUAUGGUUCAAAAUAUUUGUAUUGAAAAAUA
rnacentral:lncRNA from 1 species